GGCUCAUUAAAUCAGUUAUCGUUUAUUUGAUAGCCCCUUACUACUUGGAUAACCGUGGUAAUUCUAGAGCUAAUACAUGCUGAAAACCCCGACUUCGGAAGGGAUGUAUUUAUUAGAUUAAAAACCAAUGCCCCUCGGGGCUCACUGGUGAUUCAUGAUAACUUCUCGAAUCGCACGGCCUUGCGCCGGCGAUGGCUCAUUCAAAUUUCUGCCCUAUCAACUUUCGACGGCUGGAUCUGGGCCCGCCAUGGUGACAACGGGUAACGGAGGGUUAGGGCUCGGCCCCGGAGAAGGAGCCUGAGAAACGGCUACUACAUCCAAGGAAGGCAGCAGGCGCGCAAAUUACCCAAUCCCGACUCGGGGAGGUAGUGACAAUAAAUUCCAAUAGCGUAUAUUAAAGUUGUUGCAGUUAAAAAGCUCGUAGUUGAACCUUGGGCCUGGCUGGCCGGUCCGCCUCACCGCGUGCACUGGUCCGGCCGGGUCUUUCCCUCUGGGGAGCCGCAUGCCCUUCACUGGGCGUGUCGGGGAACCAGGACAUUUACUUUGAAAAAAUUAGAGUGUUCAAAGCAGGCUUAUGCUCGAAUACAUUAGCAUGGAAUAAUAGAAUAGGACGCGCGGUUCUAUUUUGUUGGUUUCUAGGACCGCCGUAAUGAUUAAUAGGGACAGUCGGGGGCAUCAGUAUUCAAUAGUCAGAGGUGAAAUUCUUGGAUCUAUUGAAGACUAACUACUGCGAAAGCAUUUGCCAAGGAUGUUUUCAUUAAUCAGGAACGAAAGUUAGGGGAUCGAAGACGAUCAGAUACCGUCGUAGUCUUAACCAUAAACUAUGCCGACUAGGGAUCGGACGAUGUUAUUUUUUGACUCGUUCGGCACCUUACACGAAAGUACAAGUUUCUGGGUUCU
rnacentral:rRNA from 2 species